GGCAGCAGUGGGGAAUCUUCGGCAAUGGGGGCAACCCUGACCGAGCAACGCCGCGUGAGUGAAGAAGGUUUUCGGAUCGUAAAGCUCUGUUGUAAGAGAAGAACGUGUGUGAGAGUGGAAAGUUCACACAGUGACGGUAACUUACCAGAAAGGGACGGCUAACUACGUGCCAGCAGCCGCGGUAAUACGUAGGUCCCGAGCGUUGUCCGGAUUUAUUGGGCGUAAAGCGAGCGCAGGCGGUUUAAUAAGUCUGAAGUUAAAGGCAGUGGCUUAACCAUUGUUCGCUUUGGAAACUGUUAGACUUGAGUGCAGAAGGGGAGAGUGGAAUUCCAUGUGUAGCGGUGAAAUGCGUAGAUAUAUGGAGGAACACCGGUGGCGAAAGCGGCUCUCUGGUCUGUAACUGACGCUGAGGCUCGAAAGCGUGGGGAGCAAACAGGAUUAGAUACCCUGGUAGUCCACGCCGUAAACGAUGAGUGCUAAGUGU
rnacentral:rRNA from 1 species